AUGGAGGCAUGGGCCUCAUUUUUGAUCAACUCAAAAACGUCUUCAAAUGAGAAGCAAACUGAGUUGUGAGAAGGCAAAAGGGUAGAGUGAUCUUCAAGAUUGCGAGAGGGUAUGCAUGUAUCCGAUUACAUACAAGAGGGUUCGAGUUUCGAUUAACUAUUGAGUGGUAAUCUUUGUAGGAGGUAAUUUCUUUAGGCAAAUUCUCCUUGUGAACUAGGCAAGAUUUUGCCAAACUACAUAAACACUAUCCAAAAAAAAAAAAAUAAGUGGUAACCGUCACCAUUAUUUGAUGACAUUUGGUGACAUUUACUGGAGUGAAGUAUAAAAAAGACCUAGAGAUUAGUUCGAGUGGUGAGGAACCGUAUUCGGUUAGAAGUAUGAUAUAUUAUGUAAGAAGCAAAAACAAUGUUGAAGUAUAGAGGCAUUUUGACAUGUUCCAUUAUAACAUGCAUCAUUAACUAUUAUUAAUUAUCAUUAUGUUAUUUUAUUUUUUUGAGAACUUUCUUCCGCAAUGGAGGAAUUCGAUGGGUAGCCACAAGGAAAAAAAAAAAAAAAAAAAAGAAGUCUUUCGCAACAAAAUUUAUCCCGACAAACAGAACUCUUUUCUCGACCCAAGGUGCACUACAUCCAAUACAAUGCUCGAAACCACCAAGUACGAAAACUAUGUCGGCACAUUUUUCGUCGGGAAAGAUAUUUCCCGACAACUUGGUUCUUUCUCGAUAAAUUUAUGUCGAGUAGAUCUUUCC
rnacentral:lncRNA from 1 species